rnacentral:rRNA from 1 species
GACGAACGCUGGCGGCGUGCUUAACACAUGCAAGUCGAACGGAAAGGCCCUGCUUGCAAGGUACUCGAGUGGCGAACGGGUGAGUAACACGUGGGUGAUCUGCCCUGCACUUCGGGAUAAGCCUGGGAAACUGGGUCUAAUACCGGAUAGGAGCCAUUUUUAGUGUGAUGGUUGGAAAGUUUUUUCGGUGUAGGAUGAGCUCGCGGCCUAUCAGCUUGUUGGUGGGGUAAUGGCCUACCAAGGCGGCGACGGGUAGCCGGCCUGAGAGGGUGGACGGCCACAUUGGGACUGAGAUACGGCCCAGACUCCUACGGGAGGCAGCAGUGGGGAAGAUUGCACAAUGGGCGCAAGCCUGAUGCAGCGACGCCGCGUGGGGGAUGACGGCCUUCGGGUUGUAAACUCCUUUCGCUAGGGACGAAGCUUUUUGUGACGGUACCUAGAUAAGAAGCACCGGCUAACUACGUG